rnacentral:rRNA from 1 species
UUAGUUUUCUUUAUCAGACUUUGUAGUUUCAAUGAUGACACAUAUUUGUCAAGUAUGGGUGUUGGCUCCAACAAUUCUCAUUGGUCUCAAACCAAUGAAGUGCAUCAAGAUGAUCAUGAAUAUGAAGUGCAUGAGGAGGGUGAGGGUAUGGUCGAUGCACCGAAAGGAAGGGCAUGCAACUACAUCGUGGAUGAAGACAUCUUGCUAUGCAAGAUAUGGCUGAAUGUGUCUAUGGAUGCCACCGUUGGGACGGACCAAACUAGAGAUACAUAUUGGUUUAGGAUGAAGGAGUACUUUGAUGCACACAACAAUAGUGGAAUUGAGCGCACCGAUAGAUCUCUUCGCUCCCGGUGGUCGACGAUCAACAGAGAUUGUCAAAAGUGGGCGGUGGCAAUGACGUUGGUUGACAAUAUAAACCCAAGUGGCACUAAUGAUAGAGAUAGGGUAAGUGACAUUUCUUUAUGUUCCAUGUUCAUGCCUCAUGUUUUGUGUUUCAAGUGGUAA